GGACCCCGUUUCCCUUGAAGAAAGCGUUUGGCUUCUUCUUGUUGGCGCUGAACUCGCCUCCAGAGUCACUGCUCACGAUAGGCGCAGGACCCCGAGCCGAUCUGACCAUCCGAGCACAUCUGUGACCUGUCCUGCUGCCCUGCAUCUACAGUGACCCUCAACCAGAGACUGUCUGUCUUCUGGAGGGACAUAGAAGACAACAUUGUACUGGACAUUAGAAAAAACAGUACCACACUAUUCAACACAGAGCAAGAAAUUAAGUGGUCGAGUGUUGUGUUUCCUCCAGAAGAAGGGACACUACUCCAUCAUCAUGAAAAAGGUCCAGAAGACAGACAGCAGCCCGUAUGAGUGCCACAUCUCGUCGGGGGUCCGUGUCCCUCAGCUUCUCAGGUUUGUAGACUCCUUAAUGUUUUCUGAAAUUUGUAAUGGUGCCAUGACAGACCAGCAGGUGGCAGCAGACGCACAGUACCCACACUGCAUACUGGCUUUAACAUGGACACAACCAAAGAUCUCCAUGUUGGUGUGAUUGUUUCUGAUCAUGAAAAACUUUGUAUAAUAAAACUAAUCUCAUUCUG